ACUGAAUCCAAAGGAAACUCUAGAUUUUAGAUUUAUGUGUAAAGUACGAGAUGUUAAGAUUCUGGGGGCAGCACUUGUUUUUUGAGUGCCCUGAAACUUACGUAUUUACCUUCUGGCACUUUACAUUCACCCUGGAAGUCUCCUUUGUUUCAUUGAAAUAGGCAAUAUGAAUCUGGUAGGUUUCUCUGUUUGGUCCUAAACUGAAGAGAGUGACUCUUUCCUGCCUCAGGCAUGGUUGACAAUCAAAACAUCCUCAUUUCUGUAUCACUUCCUUGGGGACUGGACCCGUGACAACUCAUCUCUUUCUUCCUGGAGACUCGAGGGUUUGUUGAAGGGGUGGCUGGACUCUUUGUUUUAGAUGGAUGAACUUUCUUCUCUGAAAUGAUUUGUCUUGCGAGAGGGGGUCCACAAUCUUCUCAGCAUAUUCAGUUGAAUCGUUUUGAACCUAGAAAUACAAAGUGUGUUGGCUUCAAACAGAUGGAGAAUCCAGGCUGCAAGUCUACCGGGCGUCUUCUCCCUUGAGAUAAGCCCCUAGUUACUUGUACCACGUGUAAGUCCCAUGGUCAUGUGAUUGACGUUGA
rnacentral:lncRNA from 1 species